UACGGAGGAUCCGAGCGUUAUCCGGAAUUAUUGGGCGUAAAGAGCGCGCAGGUGGUUGAUUAAGUCUGAUGUGAAAGCCCACGGCUUAACCGUGGAGGGUCAUUGGAAACUGGUCGACUUGAGUGCAGAAGAGGGAAGUGGAAUUCCAUGUGUAGCGGUGAGAUGCGUAGAGAUAUGGAGGAACACCAGUGGCGAAGGCGGCUUCCUGGUCUGUAACUGACACUGAGGCACGAAAGCGUGGGGAGCAAACAGGAUUAGA
rnacentral:rRNA from 1 species